AUUGAACGCUGGCGGCAUGCCUUACACAUGCAAGUCGAACGGCAGCACGGGUGCUUGCACCUGGUGGCGAGUGGCGAACGGGUGAGUAAUACAUCGGAACGCACCUUAUCGUGGGGGAUAACGCAGCGAAAGCUGUGCUAAUACCGCAUACGCCCUGAGGGGGAAAGCGGGGGAUCGCAAGACCUCGCGCGAUUAGAGCGGCCGAUGCCUGAUUAGCUAGUUGGUGGGGUAAAGGCCCACCAAGGCGACGAUCAGUAGCUGGUCUGAGAGGACGAUCAGCCACACUGGGACUGAGACACGGCCCAGACUCCUACGGGAGGCAGCAGUGGGGAAUUUUGGACAAUGGGGGCAACCCUGAUCCAGCAAUGCCGCGUGAGUGAAGAAGGCCUUCGGGUUGUAAAGCUCUUUUGUCAGGGAAGAAACACCGGCUCUAACACAGUCCGGGAAUGACGGUACCUGAAGAAUAAGCACCGGCUAACUACGUGCCAGCCGCCGCAGUAA
rnacentral:rRNA from 1 species